rnacentral:rRNA from 1 species
CCCCUAGUAACUGCGAGUGAAGCGGGAAAAGCUCAAAUUUAAAAGCUGAUGGUCUCAGGCCGUCCGCGUUGUAAUCUAGAGAAGUGUUAUCCGCGCUGGACCGUGUACAAGUCUCCUGGAAUGGAGCGUCAUAGAGGGUGAGAAUCCCGUCUUUGACACGGACUGCCAGGGCUUUGUGAUGCGCUCUCAAAGAGUCGAGUUGUUUGGGAAUGCAGCUCAAAAUGGGUGGUAAAUUCCAUCUAAAGCUAAAUAUUGGCGAGAGACCGAUAGCGAACAAGUACCGUGAGGGAAAGAUGAAAAGAACUUUGGAAAGAGAGUUAAACAGUACGUGAAAUUGCUGAAAGGGAAACGCUUGAAGUCAGUCGCGUUUGCCGGGGAUCAACCUUGCUUUUGCUGGGCGUACUCUUCGGUCGACGGGCCAGCAUCAAUUUUGGCCGUUGGAAAAAGGCCAAGGGAAUGUGGCAUCUUCGGAUGUGUUAUAGCCCUUGGUUGCAUACAACGGCUGAGAUUGAGGAACUCAGCACGCAGUAGUUUCAUUUAGCUCUGCCGGGAUUUAUCCACGUUCGUGCUUAGGAUGCUGGCAUAAUGGCUUUAAUCGACCCGUCUUGAAACACGGACCAAGGAGUCUAACAUGCCUGCGAGUGUUUGGGUGGAAAACCCGAGCGCGUAAUGAAAGUGAAAGUUGAGAUCCCUGUCGCGGGGAGCAUCGACGCCCGGACCAGAGCUUUUGUGACGGAUCUGCGGUAGAGCAUGUAUGUUGGGACCCGAAAGAUGGUGAACUAUGCCUGAAUAGGGUGAAGCCAGAGGAAACUCUGGUGGAGGCUCGUAGCGAUUCUGACGUGCAAAUCGAUCGUCAAAUUUGGGUAUAGGGGCGAAAGACUAAUCG